GGAUGGAGGAGGGAUGCAAAUAUUCUGUACUUUCUGUAGAAUCAUGAUUCUGAAUUAUAGAAACCCAACCAUUACUCUGUUUAUUUGAAUUUGAAUGUGUACCCAUGUAGAAGCGUGUACAUGUCGACAGCCGGUUCUUGUUUUGGUUUACUUCAGCCUGCUUCUAGCUAGUUCUGGUAUAACAUGAUACUAAUUUUUUUACAAUAAGUAGGCUUUCAGUCAAACGGUUCAUGUAUUAAGCCUUUUUUUCUUUUCAAAUUAGGUUUGGUUUGUCUCAUUGUGGUUUGGUAUGAUUUGUUUGUAUUAUCUUUGUUUGCUUAAAACAAACUUUAAAUUGUUGUGGACUAUUUGAGUGCUGUUUUAUUGUUGUGUUAAUGUUAUUUCUUAAAAUAGAUGUCCAUGGGGAGUCCAUAUUUAACUCCAUCGUCAUUAAGUGAAGAUGGGGAUAUGGAGUUGGAGGAAAAAAAAAAAAACAGCAUCAGCAGCAUUCUUUCCAUCCUUCGGAACACUUAAUCCCUCUAAAUUUCCUAAUUUGAGUGGAUGGUGGAAGAAAAAUGAGCAGCAACAUCAUCAUCUAUUAGUCUCAUCAUUUCCUUGUACCAUUUACUUGUAUAUCAAUGGCUGCCCUAAGUUGACUUCCUUCCCAUUAUAUCCACAAUUUGAAGAACUUUACGUAAAGAAUGUCAUUGAAAUAUUAUCAAGACUAUUAACCAUGACAACUGAAAGGAAGUCUGAUAAUCAACAACAUUUCCCUCUUUCUGAUCAGUUGAAGUUCUGUCUCUUGAGGGGAUCCAGGAUUUAGAAUCACUGCCCGAGAAGUGGCUGUGAGGCAUCACUUAUCUCGAGGAUGUGUUUAUUAUGUACUGCCCUAAGCAACGAAUGUCCCUGACACAACUUAGGCAACUUCUUAGCACAGUUGAAAGCUUCAGGUUUGGUAGUUCUGAGGAACAUGAUGUGUUCAAUAAUGAGGAUCAUGGCAGCAUGUGGUGGAGAUAACUUAACCUUUGCCGCCUACGCAUCCAAAAUGUGUGGUGGAAUCAAUUGACAAAGAAACAGGGAAGGUUGGCCUAAAAUUCCUCAUUUCCCGGACUUAACACAGGGCCUGGAUCCUUGCGAAAGUGAUUCAGAAACUUCGACUUCCUGAGGUAUGUGUAUGCUUCAUCUACAAUCCUGUACUGUUUUUUCUUCUUUUAGUCUUAUCUUGUUCUUUAGGCUUCUGAUAGUUAAUGUUUCUUGAUUUAUAUGCAAAACUUAAAUAAAAAAAUGACCCUUGGCAUAAUAGUUGUAGUUUGCUUAAAUCUUGGAGACGGCAUCUCUGCUGCGGGGCAGCAAGUGGUGGUGACCUGUUCCAUGUUGUCUAUUUUUGUUUUUGCGUGACUUCUAUUUUGAAUUUGAUUUCUUCACAUAUUAAGGGAAGAAAAAGAAGAGAUUGUGCUCCCCUCUAUUUCUUUCUUUAAUGUAGUGAUUUACUUUCUAUUUUUGGUGUAUCUGAACUUUGCUUUGAUGAUCAAUUAAUGUUUUUGAUUACUUUCUUGAUGAUUGCAUAACAGAAACGAAUCUAGCAGUAGGCGACGAUGAAGUAGUAGUACGAACUUAUGGAGGAAUGUCAACGUUGAUGUAAUAAUGCUAGAUGGAAAUUUGUUUACCAAAUGACUCCUGCAGGCACAACAGCUGAGUAAGAGCAGCUGCACACAGGCACUAUACUUGCACACCUGAGGUUGCUCUUCGUAAUAGGCAUAGCAAUUGUUACACAAAGCAUGAAGUAGAGAAUCAUAUUUUGGAAACAUUUUCUGGAACGAUGGAUAAGAUCAAGAUUAAGACAACGUUUUUAGUUAAUUAGUUAAAGCAGUUAUGAUUCUAUUGAAACUCAUUAACAGAGCAAGUCUUUAGACAAAGCUUGUGUUUUCUUAAAGGGUGCAGAUGCCUUUUUUUUUUGGAACUUGUAACGAAGUUUUAAUUCAGAGCUUUCUCUAUUGUAUUUCUUCUUCUUUAGCCAUAAAUAGCCUUUCUUCUUC
rnacentral:lncRNA from 1 species